GAUGAACGCUGGCGGCGUGCCUAACACAUGCAAGUCGAACGAACAGACGAGAAUCUUGCUUUCCUGACGUUCGAGGCGGACGCGUGAGUAAAACGUGGAUAACCCUGCUCUAAGACUGGGAUAACUUCCGGAAACCGGAACUAAUACCGGCUGAUCUUUUCAACAGCAUAGUUGAAGACUUUCAGACGUUCUUGCUUUCACUUAUACCUGGAGUCGUGAUGGAUUAGCUAGUUGGUCGGGUAACGGCUUACCAAGGCGACAAUGCCUCUCCGACCUGAGAGGGUGACCGGCCACACUGGAACUGAGACACGGUCCAGACUCCUACGGGAGGCAGCAGUGGGGAAUAUUGCACAAUGGGCGAAAGCCUGAUGAAGCAACGCCGCGUGAAUGCAGAAGGCCUUCGGGUCGUAAAAUACUGUUAGCGGGGAAGAAGAGAUUAGCGAGAAACUGUGCGCUUCUUGACGGUACCUAAAGAAGAAGCACCGGCUAACUACGUG
rnacentral:rRNA from 1 species